rnacentral:rRNA from 1 species
UACGUAGGUGGCAAGCGUUAUCCGGAAUUAUUGGGCGUAAAGCGCGCGCAGGUGGUUUCUUAAGUCUGAUGUGAAAGCCCACGGCUCAACCGUGGAGGGUCAUUGGAAACUGGGAGACUUGAGUGCAGAAGAGGAAAGUGGAAUUCCAUGUGUAGCGGUGAAAUGCGUAGAGAUAUGGAGGAACACCAGUGGCGAAGGCGACUUUCUGGUCUGUAACUGACACUGAGGCGCGAAAAGCGUGGGGAGCAAACAGG